rfam:Pan troglodytes isolate Yerkes chimp pedigree #C0471 (Clint) chromosome 9, whole genome shotgun sequence.
GCCAGGCGUGGUGCCGCACACCUGUAAUCCGAGCUACUCAGGAGGCUGAGGCAGGAGAAUCGCUUGCACCCAGGAGGUGGAGGUUGCAGUGAGCCGUGGUCGCACCACUGCCUUCCAGCCUGGGUGACAGAGCGAGACUCCAUCUCAA